AAAAAGACAAACCCUGGUUUCCGUGCCCAACGUUUAAUCGUCCGUCUUAUUUAAAAAAAUUAUAAAAAAAUUAAAAGGACAAGUCACGCAUAAAAUAUUAAUCAUGUUUUAUCAUCUAACAACAACGAAAAUACGAAUUAUAAAAAAAUUUCAUAUAAGACGGACAGUCAAAGUUGGACACAGAAACUCAGGGUUUGCCUUGUU
rfam:Oryza glaberrima chromosome 4 Oglab04_0265_3, whole genome shotgun sequence.